AUGACUCUCGGCAAUGGAUAUCUCGGCUCUUGCAUCGAUGAAGAACGUAGUGAAAUGCGAUACUUGGUGUGAAUUGCAGAAU
rnacentral:rRNA from 1 species